GACCCCCAGGUUCAAGUG
rnacentral:snRNA from 1 species